AUACACUGAUCGAGGGAAACUCAGCGUGCUUGUUUGUCUCUAAUACCUGUUCCCUUAUUGCAGAUUUCAAAUAAGAUGAUAGACUGGGAGUGCAGGGUGUAAAAAGAUGAAUCGUUCAAGACUCCACCUCCUCAGACACCACAGACUAGAACAUAGACACUGCUCAAAAAUAAGUCCACUUCCAUCUUGAAGAUUCUGAAGUGCACAUUGAGAAGGAGCCACUGGAGCAAUAUACGGUUGAGCGUUACAGCUCUAAUGGCCAAAUGCAUAGUGACCCAGUGAAUGUCUCCUUUGUUCUUGAGGACGAAUUGGUCACCACCCA